UUAGCGGCGGACGGGUGAGUAACACGUAGGCAACCUGCCUGCAAGACUGGGAUAACUCGGAAACGUUAGCUAAUACCGGAUAAUUUAUUGCUUUGCAUAAAGGAUAAUGAAAGACGGAGCAAUCUGUCMCUUGCAGAUGGGCCUGCGGCGCAUUAGCUAGUUGGUGGGGUAACGGCUCACCAAGGCGACGAUGCGUAGCCGACCUGAGAGGGUGAACGGCCACACUGGGACUGAGACACGGCCCAGACUCCUACGGGAGGCAGCAGUAGGGAAUCUUCCGCAAUGGACGAAAGUCUGACGGAGCAACGCCGCGUGAGUGAUGAAGGUUUUCGGAUCGUAAAGCUCUGUUGCCAGGGAAGAACGUCCGUUAGAGUAACUGCUAACGGAGUGACGGUACCUGAGAAGAAAGCCCCGGCUAACUACGUGCCAGCAGCCGCGGUAAUACGUAGGGGGCAAGCGUUGUCCGGAAUUAUUGGGCGUAAAGCGCGCGCAGGCGGUCAUUUAAGUCUGGUGUUUAAGGCUAGGGCUCAACCCUGGUUCGCACUGGAACUGGAUGACUUGAGUGCAGAAGAGGAGAGUGAAUUCCACGUGUAGCGGUGAAAUGCGUAGAGAUGKGAGGACACCAGKGCGAGGCGACUCUCUGGGCUGUAACUGACGCUGAGCGCGAAGCGUGGGGAGCAAACAGAUUAGAUACCUGUAGUCACGCGUAA
rnacentral:rRNA from 1 species